CCCUCUUUCCCUCUAUCUUCCUUCUUUUCCCUCUAUCUUCCCUCUUUCCCUCUAUCUUCCUUUUUUUCCCUCUAUCUUCCCCGAAGCUCUUUUCUCCGAAGCCCUCUUUCUCUCUCUCUCACUGCUAUGUUGCCUCUGCCAGGCCCAAACGACCAUCAUCCCAUCGCCGGAGCAGUACACGCGCCAGCCCAAUCGAACCCUCGGCCCUCGAAACAUCGACCCCCGUGAGCUCACCACCACACGCGCUGCCCAGGGUUGUCGACCAAUGGUCUGAAGGCGUCCGCCUCUUGUAUGGCUAUAUGUUUGUUGGCUCUUGUAUUUUCAUUUUUAGUUUGAUUAACUUCCAAUCUACAGAGAGAUGCUUUUGCUCGUACAACUAAGAAGAGGUGUUGGUUUCUUUCUUCUGACAACAUAAAGUCUUUUGUUUGUAUGGAUUUUAGAUGUCCAAGAAGAGCAAUAGGUGAGCAAGAAGCGAGGAACAGUCAUUUUUUAAGAUGGCACUCCAUCAACAAGGGGAGGACGGUCCAAUGCUUGCUAUUGAUUGGAAGAGACGCACUCUUCUCUCAGUCCUCCCCUCUGUCCGAGCACCACCACCGCCCCCUGUCUGAGACCUCCCUCCCUCUCUCUGACUCUCACUUGUACUGUUGGGCUAUGGGGAAGGAACAGGUCAGAGGCUCCAACACAGGUACUCUCUUUCGUUCUCGCUCUCUUUGUCAGUCUCUGUGUCUUGCUGGUGGCGGCACCCUCUGAAGCCAAUGUGGUGGCCAUUGGUGUCGACGAAGCUAAGGGCCUUUGGGUGUGCAUUGGCUCAUGGUUGGGGUCGAGGCGUGUGAUGGCGAUACACAUGGUGGUGGUGGUUCAUAGUGGGGCUGUGAGGUUCGUGGGUUUGACCCCGGCAGAGAGUUUGGCCACUGAUGGGGUUUGAACACGGCAUGGAUUUCAUGACAGGAUGUUGACUACAAUCAUCAAUUAUAAAGAUAUCUUCGCAGCAGCAGUCUCCAUAAGCUUAUUACCAUUCACCACCAACACCACAGUUUGCUUCACCACCAUUGUCGUGCUCUAACAUUAUUGAUCAAGAUAUUGACUUGAAUGUUAAUGAAUAUUUCUUGUUUGGUUGGCCCGAUCCAAACAAUAAUAAUUAGUUUGCGUUUUUUAAUUAAA